rnacentral:rRNA from 1 species
GAGUUUGAUCCUGGCUCAGGAUGAACGCUAGCGGCAGGCUUAACACAUGCAAGUCGAGGGGUAACAGGGAGCUUGCUCCGCUGACGACCGGCGCACGGGUGCGUAACGCGUAUAGAACCUACCUUUUACUGAGGGAUAGCCUUUAGAAAUGAAGAUUAAUACCUUAUGGUAUUGUAGACUGGCAUCAGUUUAUAAUUAAAGAUUUAUCGGUAAAAGAUGGCUAUGCGUCCUAUUAGCUAGAUGGUAAGGUAACGGCUUACCAUGGCAACGAUAGGUAGGGGCCCUGAGAGGGGGAUCCCCCACACUGGUACUGAGACACGGACCAGACUCCUACGGGAGGCAGCAGUGAGGAAUAUUGGACAAUGGAGGCAACUCUGAUCCAGCCAUGCCGCGUGCAGGAAGACUGCCCUAUGGGUUGUAAACUGCUUUUAUACAGGAAGAAACACCUCUACGUGUAGAGGCUUGACGGUACUGUAAGAAUAAGGAUCGGCUAACUCCGUGCCAGCAGCCGCGGUAAUACGGAGGAUCCAAGCGUUAUCCGGAAUCAUUGGGUUUAAAGGGUCCGUAGGUGGAUAAUUAAGUCAGAGGUGAAAUCUUGCAGCUCAACUGUAAAAUUGCCUUUGAAACUGGUUAUCUUGAGUUAUUAUGAAGUAGUUAGAAUAUGUAGUGUAGCGGUGAAAUGCAUAGAUAUUACAUAGAAUACCAAUUGCGAAGGCAGAUUACUAAUAAUCAACUGACACUGAUGGACGAAAGCGUGGGUAGCGAACAGGAUUAGAUACCCUGGUAGUCCACGCCGUAAACGAUGGUUACUAGCUGUUUGGACUUCGGUCUGAGUGGCUAAGCGAAAGUGAUAAGUAACCCACCUGGGGAGUACGUUCGCAAGAAUGAAACUCAAAGGAAUUGACGGGGGCCCGCACAAGCGGUGGAGCAUGUGGUUUAAUUCGAUGAUACGCGAGGAACCUUACCAGGGCUUAAAUGUAAGUUGCAUUAGUUAGAGAUAGCUAUUUCUUCGGACCACUUACAAGGUGCUGCAUGGUUGUCGUCAGCUCGUGCCGUGAGGUGUCAGGUUAAGUCCUAUAACGAGCGCAACCCCUGUUGUUAGUUGCCAGCGAGUCAUGUCGGGAACUCUAGCAAGACUGCCAGUGCAAACUGUGAGGAAGGUGGGGAUGACGUCAAAUCAUCACGGCCCUUACGUCCUGGGCUACACACGUGCUACAAUGGUAGGUACAGAGAGCAGCCACUGCGCGAGCAGGAGCGAAUCUAUAAAACCUAUCACAGUUCGGAUCGGAGUCUGCAACUCGACUCCGUGAAGCUGGAAUCGCUAGUAAUCGGAUAUCAGCCAUGAUCCGGUGAAUACGUUCCCGGGCCUUGUACACACCGCCCGUCAAGCCAUGGAAGUUGGAAGUGCCUGAAGUCCGUCACCGCAAGGAGCGGCCUAGGGUAAAGUCGAUAACUAGGGCUAAGUCGUAACAAGGUAGCCGUACCGGAAGGUGCGGCU